UGGGGAAUAUUGCACAAUGGGCGCAAGCCUGAUGCAGCCAUGCCGCGUGUAUGAAGAAGGCCUUCGGGUUGUAAAGUACUUUCAGCGGGGAGGAAGGCGAUAAGGUUAAUAACCUUGUCGAUUGACGUUACCCGCAGAAGAAGCACCGGCUAACUCCGUGCCAGCAGCCGCGGUAAUACGGAGGGUGCAAGCGUUAAUCGGAAUUACUGGGCGUAAAGCGCACGCAGGCUGUCUGUCAAGUCGGAUGUGAAAUCCCCGGGCUCAACCUGGGAACUGCAUUCGAAACUGGCAGGCUAGAGUCUUGUAGAGUGGGGUAGAAUUCCAGGUGUAGCGGUGAAAUGCGUAGAGAUCUGGAGGAAUACCGGUGGCGAAGGCGGCCCCCUGGACAAAGACUGACGCUCAGGUGCGAAAGCGUGGGGAGCAAACA
rnacentral:rRNA from 1 species